rnacentral:rRNA from 1 species
AAUACUCAAAAAUAAACGUCUCAGUUCGGAUUGUAGUCUGCAACUCGACUACAUGAAGUCGGAAUUGCUAGUAAUCGCAGAUCAGCAUGCUGCGGUGAAUACGUUCCCGGGCCUUGUACACACCGCCCGUCACACCAUGAGAGUUGGGGAUACCCGAAGCCUGUGAGCUAACUUUUAGAGGCAGCAGUCGAAGGUAGAAUCAAUGAUUGGGGUGAAGUCGUAACAAGGUAAC